UAGGGAAUCUUCCACAAUGGGCGAAAGCCUGAUGGAGCAACGCCGCGUGAGUGAAGAAGGGUUUCGGCUCGUAAAACUCUGUUGUUAAAGAAGAACAUAUCUGAGAGUAACCGUUCAGGUAUUGACGGUAUUUAACCAGAAAGCCACGGCUAACUACGUGCCAC
rnacentral:rRNA from 1 species